CUAAAAAUAAGUUAAAUAAAACUAUUGGACUCAUAAUCCAACCUUGACUUAUAGUCUUUUUAGA
rnacentral:tRNA from 1 species